rnacentral:lncRNA from 1 species
GAGACUCUUACCGCGCCGAGUUUUAGUAUUGCUCCAUAUCAUAUCAAAAAAAAAAUCCAAAGGAAGUUAUCUAGCUCCUUGGCACCUCACUCAACUGCUUGACUUUCUUUACGUUAGUAUGUUCACCUUUAAUGCUCACCUUACUCGGCUAUGCCCCUUGCCCAUGCACACAUGUUCAAUCUUGAUGGCUCUUCUCUACUCUAGUCCACCCAAGACCCAUUCGGCAACCUAAUCGUAGAAGAGAAAGCCUUCCAGCCAGAAAAAACAUAGGACCUCUCCGCCUUACUAAAUUGAGAAUAGUGGUCGAUCUACGAGUCACGCAAGAAAGCUACAGGCCAAAAACUAAAGAAGACAAAGCGGGGAUCACUUGUUUCGUUUGCUUACUAAUUACUGAAAUCAAAGGCACAUGCAUACGGGAGUAAUUAGUCAUUAGUAAUGAAUUAGUCAUGUAACGAUCAAUCUAUGAAGGGCUUCGCCUCGAGAAAGAACUAGUGUUCUUGAGUAUAAGCCUGACCUAUUUGAAUCUCCAUCAGUGGCUUAUUAGUCUUUCGACAAUGUUUUUGAAGUACAGUA